AAGACCUUGCGCUUUUGGAGCGGCCGAKGCCUGAUUAGCUUGUUGGUAAGGUAAAAGCUUACCAAGGCUUCGAUCAGUAGCUGGUCUGAGAGGACGACCAGCCACACUGGGACUGAGACACGGCCCAGACUCCUACGGGAGGCAGCAGUGGGGAAUUUUGGACAAUGGGGGCAACCCUGAUCCAGCCAUGCCGCGUGAGUGAAGAAGGCCUUCGGGUUGUAAAGCUCUUUCAGCCGGAACGAAACGGUUACGGUUAAUACCCGUGAUUACUGACGGUACCGGAAGAAGAAGCACCGGCUAACUACGUGCCAGCAGCCGCGGUAAUACGUAGGGUGCAAGCGUUAAUCGGAAUUACUGGGCGUAAAGCGUGCGCAGGUGGUUUUGUAAGUCAGAUGUGAAAUCCCCGGGCUUAACCUGGGAACU
rnacentral:rRNA from 1 species